UACGUAGGGUGCGAGCGUUGUCCGGAAUUACUGGGCGUAAAGAGCUCGUAGGUGGUUUGUCGCGUUGUUCGUGAAAACUCACAGCUUAACUGGUGGGCGUGCGGGCGAUACGGGCAGACUGGAGUACUGCAGGGGAGACUGGAAUUCCUGGUGUAGCGGUGGAAUGCGCAGAUAGUCAGGAGGAACACCGGUGGCGAAGGCGGGUCUCUGGGCAGUAACUGACGCUGGAGGAGCGAAAGCGUGGGGAGCGAACAGG
rnacentral:rRNA from 1 species